rnacentral:rRNA from 1 species
UACGGGGGGGGCAAGCGUUGUUCGGAAUUACUGGGCGUAAAGGGCUCGUAGGCGGCCAACUAAGUCGGACGUGAAAUCCCUCGGCUUAACCGGGGAACUGCGUCCGAUACUGGAUGGCUUGAGGUUGGGAGAGGGAUGCGGAAUUCCAGGUGUAGCGGUGAAAUGCGUAGAUAUCUGGAGGAACACCGGUGGCGAAGGCGGCAUCCUGGACCAAUUCUGACGCUGAGGAGCGAAAGCCAGGGGAGCAAAGCGGG